rnacentral:lncRNA from 1 species
GUGAAACAUAAAGAGACAAGCAGGGGAAGAUUUUCCAGAAAGGCUGGUGGCUAGGCACAAGCAAAUUACACCAUUAAUGUCAUCCUGGCGAAUGAAACAAGAGAAUAGUAUUUAUCAGAGAAAGUCUGGUGAGUUGAAGUCCAAGACCCCAGGAAACAACUAGCCCUGCUGGGCUGCCCCUCCUUCGGAGUGGGACUAUAUGAUCCUCAUCAGGCCAAUCCACGUCACAGAAUGGUCUAGGCAUUGGAUGAGUGCCUCAAUCUGAGCCAAUGAAGGUCAUUGCUGAGACAUUUUACUGGUUGCCAGGCUGCAGGCAUCCCAGGCUUCCUGCUGCCCUCAUGUCUACAACCUGUCGUCUGGAACAUUCCAGGAGCCACUUUUAUCACUUGCAGCAAUCUUCUUCAAAUACCACAGACUGGGCAAUUUAUAAAUGAUGGAAGUUUAUUUGGCUCAUGGUUCUGGAGACUGGGAAGUCCAAGAACAUGGCACUGUCAUCUGAUUCUUGACCAGAAGCCAAGGACAGCUGUCUUCCUCUAACACCCUAUGGUGAUGCCCACAGGAACUCUCUCCUUUCAGGGUUCAACCCACUAAAAGGUGUGAAAGGAUGUGCAUUUAGCAGCCCUGACAUCUACGAUUUGACUGAAGGAUUUUAAGCACAGAAACCCAUGGAUCCCGGAAGGGCCAUGAUCUACCUUUAGAUGCUUUGUCUCAGUAAUAGCAAUGUGUCUGGGUUUCUCUGCAUAAAUAUACUGAAAUAAACAAUCACAGUCUGUA